CGUAAAGUGUGGUGCAAGUAAGCACAAAAAUCAAGCUGGAUUGUCUUUACACAGACACCCAAAGAAGGUCCCCAGGAGUCGUUGGUUUUACAUGAAAUUACUAACAUCAGAAAGCAUAAGGAUACUGCCACAUCAACUGAUGUGUUCCCAUUGCCAUUAUCCCAUGAAAAUAUAAAACCAAAGGAGUUUGUUUCAGCCGAAAGAAGAAGGAAGAAGCAGACUGAACGUUUGUGUUUCAUUAUUAAUUGGGGAGGAAGACAUCAAUAGCCUCAUUUAUGUAAAAUCAAGAGGAAGGCUGAAAUAUGCCUCUUGUAGCGUCAUAGAAAUCAUUAAAAAGACAGAGAAACUCGUUGAAACUCAUUUAGAUUGUAAAAUUAAAUCUGAAGUGUAUUAUUUAUACAUUUUUAAAUUUAUGUGUGAAUUUUAUGAAAUUAAUACUUUUUUUGACUGUGAUCCCAAUCACAAUACUGACCAUAAGUUACUUUUAAAUAAGUCAAUAAUUAAAACAUUUUUAAAUAUAAGAUUAGAUACUGCGGUUGUAGAAGAACUGAAAAACUGUCUCAUAGACAGUUUUUUAAUAAGCUUAUAAAUAUUGUUUAGAAAUGAAUAACUUUGUUCAAUGUCUCUUUUAAUUUUACCCACCAGCUUGUACACAUUAUGGUAUGCAGUAAAGUUAUUGAGUA